CCUACGGGAGGCAGCAGUGGGGAAUAUUGCGCAAUGGGCGAAAGCCUGACGCAGCGACGCCGCGUGGGGGAUGACGGCCUUCGGGUUGUAAACCUCUUUCAGCAGGGACGAAGCGGAAGUGACGGUACCUGCAGAAGAAGCACCGGCCAACUACGUGCCAGCAGCCGCGGUAAUACGUAGGGUGCAAGCGUUGUCCGGAAUUAUUGGGCGUAAAGAGCUCGUAGGCGGUUUGUUGCGUCGGCUGUGAAAUCCCGAGGCUCAACCUCGGGUCUGCAGUCGAUACGAGCAAACUAGAGUGUUGCAGGGGAGACUGGAAUUCCUGGUGUAGCGGUGAAAUGCGCAGAUAUCAGGAGGAACACCGGUGGCGAAGGCGGGUCUCUGGGCAACAACUGACGCUGAGGAGCGAAAGCGUGGGGAGCGAACAGGAUUAGAUACCCUUG
rnacentral:rRNA from 1 species